rnacentral:rRNA from 1 species
UACGGAGGGGGCUAGCGUUGUUCGGAAUUACUGGGCGUAAAGCGCACGUAGGCGGCUUUGUAAGUUAGAGGUGAAAGCCCGGAGCUCAACUCCGGAAUUGCCUUUAAGACUGCAUCGCUAGAAUUGUGGAGAGGUGAGUGGAAUUCCGAGUGUAGAGGUGAAAUUCGUAGAUAUUCGGAAGAACACCAGUGGCGAAGGCGACUUACUGGACAUGUAUUGACGCUGAGGUGCGAAAGUGUGGGGAGCAAACAGG